rnacentral:tRNA from 1 species
AGUUCUAUACUUUAAAGAAAAGGUUUGAUUUGCAUUCAAUUAUUGAAUAACACUCUAGAACUA